AUGAGGAGCAAAGGUAUGUAACACAUAUGAUGUAUUUAGCUAGUGAAACCACUACCAGUCUUAAAUGUAUAACUGAUGAUGACAAAGUUUUUUCUCUGCAUAAUCAUAGGAACCCAGGCAGUAGCAUCGUUUCACAAUGUUUCCAUCACCAUCAUCAGUGGAUGCCUUUGCCGUCCGUAGCCUGAGAUUUCAGAUUUGCAGCAAAAAAUGUGACUUUCCCAUUUAUUGGAAUGCUGUGCAGCCAUCCAUUACAAUGUCACCAAGCCGUAACAAAAGCAGGAGAGGGAAAGUACAAGGCUAUGUUCCCAAAACACACAAGUGACAUACUUUAUGUGGAUGAUGUGAUCAGGCUUGUGUUUGCUGAGGUAUUUGAAGAUAAGCUGAAGGAAACCCCGAUUCCAAUGGACCUGGCAUCACAGUUUGAGAGACCUUCGAAGGAGGACGUGAUUGCAUGCCAUCUUCAGUGCAGGGGUCGUCGGAAGCCAACAUUCUGAUCAGGAAGCUACAAGCAUAUCUGGAGAACAACACACGACAGGAUGAUAACCCUAAAGUGUCAUCUUAGAUAGCACCAGCUGACAAAGCUUUGAUAUGCCAUUUAUCUGAAUAGAUAGCUGUAAGAAGUGAAUUGAACAAUUUUUGAAAGAC